rnacentral:rRNA from 1 species
AGAGAGAGACAUGCGCGCAUAUCAAUAAGCGGAGGAAAAGAAACUAACAAGGAUUCCCUUAGUAACGGCGAGUGAAGCGGGAAGAGCUCAAAUUUGAAAUCUUCAAGGUUUUACCUUGACGAAUUGUAGUUUAAAGAAGUGUUUUCUGCUGAAGUUUUGGUAAAAGUUCUUUGGAAUAGGACAUCAUAGAGGGUGAGAAUCCCGUAUUUGACCAUUAUUUUCAGCUCUGUGAUACACUUUCAAAGAGUCGGAUUGUUUGGGAAUGCAGUCCAAAAUGGGUGGUAAAUUUCAUCUAAAGCUAAAUAUUGGCGAGAGACCGAUAGCGAACAAGUACCGUGAGGGAAAGAUGAAAAGAACUUUGAAAAGAGAGUUAAACAGUACGUGAAAUUGUCAAAAGGGAAGCGUUUGACACCAGUGUUGUUUUCUCGAAAAUCAAUUAAAAAUGGCUCGAUUUUGUAUUGCUUGAGACCUUAAAAGCUCACUGUACAUUUUUCGUGUCUUUUUUAAUGCACUUUUCGUUUAACAAGUCAACAUCAGUUUCUUUUGUUGUAAAAGGGUCAUUGGAAGGUGGCUUUCUUUUCGGAGAAAGUGUUUAUAGCCUUUGGCCUCUGCAAUCGGAGAGACUGAGGUCUGCAGCGUAGACUCUUCGGGGUUAGAUACAUUUGUGCUAAGUUAUAGCUUUUUUAUAGACAACUUGUUGACUAUAAUUAGUCUUGUAGCUUACUCGCUUAUGCUAUUUUACCUACGCUUAGGAUGUUGAGUCGUAGAGCACGCAG